UACGUAGGGGGGCAAGCGUUUGUCCGGAUUUAUUGGGCGUAAAGAGCGUGUAGGCGGCCUUACAGGUCAGCUGUGAAAACUCGAGGCUCAACCUCGAGACGUCGGUUGAAACCGUAUGGCUAGAGUCCGGAAGAGGAGAGUGGAAUUCCCGGUGUAGCGGUGAAAUGCGCAGAUAUCGGGAAGAACACCCGUGGCGAAGGCGGCUCUCUGGGGACGGUACUGACGCUGAGACGCGAAAGCGUGGGGAGCGAACAGG
rnacentral:rRNA from 1 species